UUUCACACGCAGUCAUGUAUUAUUGUGUGUCUCUGCGGUGUUUGUUUUCGCUGGCGUGUCGGCGAUAGACGUGUACACUCCAGCCGAGCUGUUUGCUGAGAACGGGACCACAGCCACUCUGUCCUGCAGCUUCAAGUCUAGAGAGGUGAUCAGUAGCUCUGCGUCAGUGACGUGGUCUUUCCUUCCGGAGGGAGAAGCCGGAGCGUUCACUUCAUUCUUCUAUUACUCCGGUGGGAAGCCGUUUCCGGGCUCGCUGCCGCAGUUUAAGUCUCGUGUGGAAUGGGCCGGAGACA